CUUUUGCCCCGGACCAUCAGAACGUCGUGCAACGUGACUGCUGCUGGAUCCUGGUGUGCUCCAUCCGAUAGCGACUUCAGCAGGAAAGAUGAACCUGAAUCUACAAGGAAUCAAGACCUCCAUUAGGACAAGCUGACAACAGAACCACUACUAUAGAAACAUGCCUGCAACUUUUAAGUGAUCUACUGAUUGGAUGCUAACACACUAAUUCCUUUGCAGUUCACAGACACUGGGACACUUAUCACUCCUAAAGAGGACGACUCUUUGCUGUUGGUUUUCAUAGAGAGUAUUUCUAAUAUGUACUCCAGAAUCAGACACGUAAGUUCCCUUCUUUAGCAAAUUUUUCUUCUAAGAUUCUCCCCCCUCUUUCCUACACAUCAAAGAUAUGACAGUGGUGCUUUACAUUUUUACCAAAUGCACAUGCAUUAUGAGCUCAGUGUCGUCAACUGCAGUCAGUUUCCUUGCUGCUAAGAUUUACAUCUUAGUCAUCCUUGGACCACACAGAGCACAGAAAUUAAAAC
ensembl:lncRNA